AUUAUUGGGCGUAAAGAGCUCGUAGGCGGUUUGUCGCGUCUGCUGUGAAAACUGGAGGCUCAACCUCCAGCCUGCAGUGGGUACGGGCAGACUAGAGUGCGGUAGGGGAGAUUGGAAUUCCUGGUGUAGCGGUGGAAUGCGCAGAUAUCAGGAGGAACACCAAUGGCGAAGGCAGAUCUCUGGGCCGUAACUGACGCUGAGGAGCGAAAGCAUGGGGAGCGAACAGGAUUAGAUACCCUGGUAGUCCAUGCCGUAAACGUUGGGAACUAGAUGUAGGGACCAUUCCACGGUUUCUGUGUCGCAGCUAACGCAUUAAGUUCCCCGCCUGGGGAGUACGGCCGCAAGGCUAAAACUCAAAGGAAUUGACGGGGGCCCGCACAAGCGGCGGAGCAUGCGGAUUAAUUCGAUGCAACGCGAAGAACCUUACCAAGACUUGACAUAUACGAGAACGGGCCAGAAAUGGUCAACUCUUUGGACACUCGUAAACAGGUGGUGCAUGGUUGUCGUCAGCUCGUGUCGUGAGAUGUUGGGUUAAGUCCCGCAACGAGCGCAACCCUCGUUCUUUGUUGCCAGCACGUAAUGGUGGGAACUCAAAGGAGACUGCCGGGGUCAACUCGGAGGAAGGUGGGGAUGACGUCAAAUCAUCAUGCCCCUUAUGUCUUGGGCUUCACGCAUGCUACAAUGGCCGAUACAAAGGGCUGCAAUACCGCAAGGUGGAGCGAAUCCCAAAAAGUCGGUCUCAGUUCGGAUUGAGGUCUGCAACUCGACCUCAUGAAGUCGGAGUCGCUAGUAAUCGCAGAUCAGCAACGCUGCGGUGAAUACGUUCCCGGGCCUUGUACACACCGCCCGUCAAGUCAKGAAAGUCGGUAACACCCGAAGCCAGUGGCCUAACCCGCAAGGGGAGGAGCU
rnacentral:rRNA from 1 species